rnacentral:rRNA from 1 species
CCUACGGGAGGCAGCAGUGGGGGAUAUUGCACAAUGGGGGCAACCCUGAUGCAGCGACGCCGCGUGGGUGAAGAAGCGCCUCGGCGCGUAAAGCUCUGUCAGGAGGGAAGAAAAUGACGGUACCUGAAGAAGAAGCCCCGGCUAACUACGUGACAGCAGCCGCGGUAAUACGUAGGGGGCAAGCGUUAUCCGGAUUUACUGGGUGUAAAGGGGGCGCAGACGGGGGUGCAAGCCAGGAGUGAAAGCCCGGGGCCCAACCCCGGGACUGCUCUUGGAACUGCGUGGCUAGAGUGCAGGAGGGGCAGGCGGAAUUCCUGGUGUAGCGGUGAAAUGCGUAGAUAUCAGGAGGAACACCGGUGGCGAAGGCGGCCUGCUGGACUGCAACUGACGUUGAGGCCCGAAAGCGUGGGGAGCAAACAGGAUUAGAUACCCUAGUAGUC